rnacentral:rRNA from 1 species
AGGAUGAACGCUGGCGGCGUGCCUAACACAUGCAAGUCGAACGAGAAAGUGGAGCAAUCCAUGAGUAAAGUGGCGCACGGGUGAGUAGCACGUGACUAACCUACCCUUGAGUGGGGGAUAACCUCGGGAAACCGGGGCUAAUACCGCAUAAUAUCGAGAGAUCAAAGGAGCAAUUCGCUUAAGGAGGGGGUCGCGGCUGAUUAGCUAGUUGGUGAGGUAAUGGCUCACCAAGGCUAUGAUCAGUAUCCGGCCUGAGAGGGCGCACGGACACACUGGAACUGAAACACGGUCCAGACUCCUACGGGAGGCAGCAGUGGGGAAUUUUGCGCAAUGGGGGAAACCCUGACGCAGCAACGCCGCGUGGAGGAUGAAGUCCCUUGGGACGUAAACUCCUUUCGAUCGGGACGAUAAUGACGGUACCGGAAGAAGAAGCCCCGGCUAACUUCGUGCCAGCAGCCGC